rnacentral:hammerhead_ribozyme from 1 species
AUCCUAUUGACGAGUUCCAAAUUGGAUGAAACGCUCGUCCUGGAU